ensembl:lncRNA
UAAACCCUUUCCAUCAAUUGUCACUCCAGGUAUUCUGAACAUUGUCUUUUCUAUUAUGAAUGGGAUAUUUUUCAUACCAGUUUGACUGCUCAGACAAGUGUAAUAAACUAUCAUUACGAACGUGAACGUUGACUAACAAAAGUUUAAGUUAUACACCUUCAAUACUUGUUACCUACAUUAAGCCAAGAUGGAUCUUGAACUUCGAUACCAUUACAUGAAGGGUCAAUGGUGAAAACCCUGCAAGCCAGUGAUAUAGAGACAUUAGAAAAGGUUUGUUUUCAGUGGUGCAAAGUACUUAAGUAAAAAUGAUUUAAAUCGUUUUGGGGGUAUCUGUACUUUAACUAUUUAUAUUUUUGACAACUUCAGUACAUUCAUAAAGGACAAAAAUGUACUUUUGACUCCAUCCACUUUCCCUGAUACCCAAAAGUACAUUUUGAAUGCUUUGUAUGACAGGAAAAUGGUCCAAUUCACACAUUUAUCAAGAGAACCUCUGAUCUGGCAGACUCAAUAAACACAAAUGCUUAGUUUAUAAAUUAUGUCUAAGUGUUGGAUUGUGCCCCUGGCUAUUCUUACAUUCAAUAAAAGCAAUACAAUUGUGUUGUCUGCUUUGCUUAAUUUUUAAAAUUAUUUUUACUUUUGAUACUUGAGAAUAUUUCAAACCAAAUACUUCCCAAGUAGUAUUUUACUGGGCAACUUUCACAUUUACUUGAGUCAUACUGUUUGCAACUGACUGAUUGAGGACUUUUUCCACCACUGUUUGUUUUGGACAUUUAUUUUUUAUCAAAUGUAUUUGACAGGGACAAUCUACUGUAUUUCUGUAAAUGUGCCAGAUUUAGCCAGCUGGCUUUGUGAUGUAACAAAGGUAGCUGAUGAUGUAAUGAAAACAGACAGUUAAAUAUGUGUGUGUAGAACUGUUGCACAUUUGCUCUGGAAAUGAGGACCAAACCUACUCGUCAAAAGGAGUGAAUUGCACCUCCAAUUGAAGUCAAUAAUAAGUUUGAGAGAUCAUCCCGGGCUUUGCCCCGUCUGCUGUAGCUGAGAUGUCCCUGGAGGACAUAGAACAACAAGACUAUGAUGUUUCUGACACUGAGAGAGUCAGAGCCUUGUCCCAGUCUCUAGACCUGCCUGUCUGUGUGGUGGAUGACCACCUGACCUCUGAAGCUGUCAAUGAGAUGGAGCAGAGCAAUUCUACCAGGAGCAGAGCAACCUCAGUGAUGGAAACCACAGAAGAGGGGAAGCUCAACAAUGUGGAACAUCUGACACUGAUGGACUUCCUUCAAAACCUAACUGAGAAGCAAUGGAGGGGGAUUCGUGAGGGCAUGUUUGACCCGCUGACAAAACAACAGCUUGCCGGCUUGUGUCUGAGGAUUGUCCAGUUUUUAUCGGACAAGCUGAUGCAGAUCAUCAUCCCAGGUCUUUACGAACUACUGGGCAUCCAAGAUGCUGCCUCCUCUCCAUUGUCACAGAGAUCUCUCACAGCGUCACUCACCAGUCCGUUAGACGAUAAGACUAACACCAAGUCCCGCGUGAGAUUUACUGAGGCUGGUGUACCUAAGAGGCCAGGCAGUCGAAAGUCUUACAAUAGCUUUCGCAUCCCGACUCCCUACCCUUCCUCCAACUGUAUGGAGCAGGAAGAGGAAGAAGAGCAGGAAUCACAACUUAAGUUCAAGGAGAUUUACCUGACUAAGGGCAGUGGAAGCUACCUGCCCAAGGGGGCCAUGAGGUAUGUUCUUAAAGGGAAAUUUAACAACUUCAUAUUCAUCUCCAGCAUCACCAUAUGUGAAAAUUACACAUUUCCAUGCUUUGUAGUAAAAAAUAUAGAGGGACGUAACUGUUUCCAAUAGUGCUGAGAAAUUAGUGCUUUUUGAGGUUGGUUUGGUUUCGAUUCAAAUAUUUAAAAAAUAAUCACGGUUUUGGAUUUCAAUACUUUUUUUAGACAUUGAAUGCACUAUGGAUUAUGUGUGUUGAAUGCUGUAACAACACAUAAUAAAACAAUGAAUAAAAGUCCCAUGAUGGUAGUGACUGUCCAUUACUGUUUAUGACUUAUCAACCAUCAUUUACUUUCUAAUUUAAAAUAUUUAUUUGAUGACUUUAUUAUUUCAUUCCAAGUCAUCAACUCAUCUCUAUAGAGCUGCUGCUUAUCCUGUCUG